GAAGGCACUUCUCUGGGCCGCUACUGACGCUGAGGAGCGAAAGCGUGGGGAGCGAACAGGAUUAGAUACCCUGGUAGUCCACGCCGUAAACGUUGGGCGCUAGAUGUGGGUCACAUUCCACGUGAUCCGUGUCGCAGCUAACGCAUUAAGCGCCCCGCCUGGGGAGUACGGCCGCAAGGCUAAAACUCAAAGGAAUUGACGGGGGCCCGCACAAGCGGCGGAGCAUGCGGAUUAAUUCGAUGCAACGCGAAGAACCUUACCAAGGCUUGACAUAUAGAGGAAAACUGCAGAAAUGUAGUCCCCGCAAGGUCUCUAUACAGGUGGUGCAUGGUUGUCGUCAGCUCGUGUCGUGAGAUGUUGGGUUAAGUCCCGCAACGAGCGCAACCCUCGUCCUAUGUUGCCAGCACGUUAUGGUGGGAACUCAUGGGAGACUGCCGGGGUCAACUCGGAGGAAGGUGGGGAUGACGUCAAAUCAUCAUGCCCCUUAUGUCUUGGGCUUCACGCAUGCUACAAUGGCCGGUACAAAGGGCUGCAAUACCGCAAGGUGGAGCGAAUCCCAAAAAGCCGGUCUCAGUUCGGAUUGAGGUCUGCGACUCGACCUCAUGAAGUCGGAGUCGCUAGUAAUCGCAGAUCAGCAACGCUGCGGUGAAUACGUUCCCGGGCCUUGUACACACCGCCCGUCAAGUCACGAAAGUCGGUAACACACCGAAGCCGUGGCCUAACCGUAAGGAAGG
rnacentral:rRNA from 1 species